rnacentral:lncRNA from 1 species
CAAAGCAACGAGGAACGGCCACGGCGGGGUGGGGACUAUGGUUCCUUAGGUCGUAUUGGAUGGCUCAGAAAAAUUUAAGGCGAUCGAGGUCCCGGGGGCCCGGACCCACUCGGAAGGCAUGUGCUAUAGCACACGAAUAUAUGGGACUCGCGCGGAAUUCUAGUUUUUUGGCCGUAAAAUGCAUAACAACGAGGAACGGCCAUGGCGGGGUGGUGAAUAUUGUUCCUUAGGUCGUAUUUGAUGGGUCCGAAUAAUUUUAAGCGAUCAGGGUCCGGGGGCCAGGACUUACUCGGAAGGCGUGGGCUUAUAGCACACUAAAAUAUGGGAAUCGGGCGAAAUUUUAGUUUUUUGGCCGUAAAACACAAAACAACAAGAAACGGCUAUGGAAUAGAGGUGACUAUGGUUCCUUAGGUCGUAUUUGAUGGCCCCGAAUAAUUUUAGGCGAUCGGGGUCCGGGGGCCCGGACCCACUCGGAAGGCAUGGGCUAUAGCACACGAAAAUAA